rnacentral:rRNA from 1 species
UGCGUAGGUGGUUUCUUAAGUCAGAGGUGAAAGGCUACGGCUCAACCGUAGUAAGCCUUUGAAACUGGGAAACUUGAGUGCAGGAGAGGAGAGUGGAAUUCCUAGUGUAGCGGUGAAAUGCGUAGAUAUUAGGAGGAACACCAGUGGCGAAGGCGGCUUGCUGGGCUUUUACUGACGCUGAGGCUCGAAAGCGUGGGGAGCAAACA